rnacentral:lncRNA from 1 species
CCGCUCGUGGGCGCCGCCAUCUCAAACCCCACUUCCAGCGCUCCUCCUCCCUCAUGGAGCCCAAUAAGCUCUGAGAUCACUUGGACAUCCACCGCACUGUCACGCCUUCAUCUUGGUCAGUGACCGAGGAGGUAUAGGAGGCUACGACCACCAAGUCGGAAGCGAUGGUUAAAACUAUCAUCGAAAGUUCGAAACAGCGAAUUUGUAAAAGCCUAAAACAUGAGUUGAACUGCAAGACCAACCAGUAGAAGACUCCCAAAAUCCCCAAAAAUUCAAAUUAGGGUUUCAUUCCCCAGUUUGAAAAUCCCAAUUCGAAGCGCAGCAAGAAAAUAUGGAGUGCG